GGAGUUGUGGCUCAGUAGUAGAGUGCUUGCCUAGCAUGUGCCAGGCCCUGAGUUCGAUCCUCAGCAACACAU
rfam:Ictidomys tridecemlineatus contig012656, whole genome shotgun sequence.